rnacentral:rRNA from 1 species
UACGGAGGGUGCGAGCGUUGUCCGGAAUCACUGGGCGUAAAGGGCGCGUAGGCGGCCUGAUAAGUAGGGGGUGAAAUCCUGCGGCUUAACCGCAGGGCUGCCUUCUAAACUGUCAGGCUAGAGCACGGUAGAGGCAGAUGGAAUUCCCGGUGUAGCGGUGGAAUGCGUAGAGAUCGGGAGGAACAUCUGUGGCGAAGGCGACUGCCUGGACCAGCACUGACACUGAGGCACGAAAGCGUGGGGAGCAAACAGG